UGGUGGAUAGUUGUCUUAUUGGCAAUCAUAACUAUAUAUUUAUAUGAAAUAUAAAUUUAAUAAUUACCUCUUGCAGAAUUUCAAGCGGUCUGUCAUACUUGUUGAAAAUGGGUUGCCUUGAACCCCAAGGACGCCACAUUUUAACUCUUAUAUUUGAAAUAAGUCUGUAUAAAUUUGUGUCUAUUCGUGCAAAUAUUAAAACAC
rnacentral:lncRNA from 1 species